rnacentral:tRNA from 1 species
UCGGGACUCGUAUAAUGGUAGUACACAUGAUUCUGGUUCAUGGUGUCGGGGUUCGACUCCCUGGUCCCGAGCCA